GCCCACUUAGCUUAGAGGUUAGAGCAUCGCAUUUGUAAUGCGAGGGUCAUCGGUUCAAAUCCGAUAGUCGGCU
rnacentral:tRNA from 2 species